CCUCACGGCACUAGGUCAGCUAUCUGCAGCAUAAUUUGAAUGGGGAACGUUGACUUCUAACUCUUUGACUGUUGCUGGUAAAGUCUUUGUUGAGCUACCUUUUCUUAAAAUUUUAUCCAUCCCAUACAUGAAUAAGAGGAACCGGGAUUGUGUUGGUUUCGAUGUUCAUAUUGAGGGAAUACUUUCUCAUGAUAACUUCAUAUUUCAAACUCACUGUUUUGAAAACACUUGAAAAAGCUUAUUUAAAAGCGGUAGAAUUAAAAUUGCAAACAAAGUACAACUACUGUUUAUUACA